rnacentral:rRNA from 1 species
GAUGAACGCUGGCGGCGUGCUUAACACAUGCAAGUCGAACGAAACACCUUAUUUGAUUUUCUUCGGAACUGAAGAUUUGGUGAUUGAGUGGCGGACGGGUGAGUAACGCGUGGGUAACCUGCCCUGUACAGGGGGAUAACAGUCAGAAAUGACUGCUAAUACCGCAUAAGACCACAGCACCGCAUGGUGUAGGGGUAAAAACUCCGGUGGUACAGGAUGGACCCGCGUCUGAUUAGCUGGUUGGUGAGGUAACGGCUCACCAAGGCGACGAUCAGUAGCCGGCUUGAGAGAGUGAACGGCCACAUUGGGACUGAGACACGGCCCAAACUCCUACGGGAGGCAGCAGUGGGGAAUAUUGCACAAUGGGGGAAACCCUGAUGCAGCGACGCCGCGUGAGUGAAGAAGUAUCUCGGUAUGUAAAGCUCUAUCAGCAGGGAAGAAAAUGACGGUAC